rnacentral:rRNA from 1 species
CACGUAGGGGGCGAGCGUUGUCCGGAUUUAUUGGGCGUAAAGAGCUCGUAGGCGGCUCAGUAAGUCAGGUGUGAAAACUCCAGGCUCAACCUGGAGACGCCACCUGAUACUGCUGUGGCUAGAGUCCGGUAGGGGAGCAUGGAAUUCCUGGUGUAGCGGUGAAAUGCGCAGAUAUCAUUUGGAACGCCAAUGGUGAAAACAGCUCGCUGGGGGUUUGCUGACGCUGAGACACGAAAGCCAGGGGAGCAAACGGG